CAUUCCCCAAAUUCAGUUUCCCCACUAAACAUAAUCUCCUCAUAUUUCCCUCUCAGUUUUAAUUUUUCAUUUUCAUCUUCCCACCAAAAUCUCACAGCCUCCUAAAAUGCCCUAAUUAAGAAUAUUUCCUCACGAUCCAUCUCUUCUUCUCUCUGUGAUUUCUUCUUUUUCUCUAUCUUUGGCUUAUUACUUCUUGAUCACCAUUUUGUAUCGUAACACAUUGUUACAAGGGCUUUAAACCAGGACUAACAUGUCUUUGUUACUAAGGACUUACCCAGUAUGUUGGGAGGGUUGAUAGGCGGUGAAAGAAGAGUGGGUGCUGGUGGUGAUCGUACAAUUCACGAUUGAGAAUUUGAUUCAGUAUGACGCAAUUAGUCCGUCCAUUGCAGUGGCUGGCUUACAUCCUAUUAAUUAUGCGUGUCUAUCUUAUCACGAGUAAAAAGGUGGUGGAGCAAUACAAGUUGGGAUAAGAAGUUACCCUUUGCUCGUGCAGAUUGGUGGAGUGUUUUAUGUGGACAUAACUAGUUUCGAAGCAUGGACAUACUCAAGGUCCGGCUCUUGCUUCUAAGGCGUUUCGUCUUCAAUUUCGGUCAAUUACUCCUGGUGUUAUAAAUGGAACGCAUAUUGAGCCAAUCCCAAGCAGAAAUCUGCCUCCUAGGUUUGAACCAAAUACAUCUCGCAGUGUGAUUGGCUUACAUAUGAUUUUUUAGUUUGUAAUUCUCCUUUUCAUAUGCAUGUUCAAGCAUGACGAAUGCCUUAGUAUGUCCCUGGUAACCAAGUAAGUGUUUUUAUAAUUUGCUAUAUCUUACCAAUUUGUUUUUCUCGUCCCCCAAUACACACAGUAUUGUACUGAGGUUUAUAGUUGUGAUAUGCAAAAGUG